rnacentral:rRNA from 1 species
UACGUAGGAGGCGAGCGUUGUCCGGAUUUACUGGGCGUAAAGGGCGCGUAGGCGGCGCGACAAGUCAAUGGUGAAAGCCCGAGGCUCAACUUCGGGUCGGCCACUGAUACUGUUGGGCUUGAGCACUGUAGAGGCAGGUGGAAUUCCGGGUGUAGCGGUGGAAUGCGUAGAGAUCCGGAAGAACACCGGUGGCGAAGGCGGCCUGCUGGGCAGUAGCUGACGCUGAGGCGCGACAGCGUGGGGAGCAAACAGG